rnacentral:rRNA from 1 species
GGAUUGAACGCUGGCGGCAUGCCUAACACAUGCAAGUCGAACGGGAGUAGCAAUACUCUAGUGGCGGACGGGUGAGGAAUACGUAGGAAUUUGCCCUUAAGUGGGGGAUAACCCGGGGAAACCCGGAUUAAUACCGCAUGACCUCGAAAGAGCAAAGUGGGGGAUCGCAAGACCUCACGCUUUUGGAGAAGCCUACGUCGGAUUAGCUAGUUGGUGAGGUAAUGGCUCACCAAGGCGACGAUCCGUAACUGGUCUGAGAGGAUGAUCAGUCACACCGGAACUGAGACACGGUCCGGACUCCUACGGGAGGCAGCAGUGGGGAAUAUUGGACAAUGGGCGCAAGCCUGAUCCAGCAAAUGCCGCGUGUGUGAAGAAGGCCUCGGUUGUAAGUACGACUU